rnacentral:rRNA from 1 species
ACGGAAGGCAGCAGUGGGGAAUAUUGCACAAUGGGCGAAAGCCUGAUGCAGCGAUGCCGCGUGAGGGAAGAAGGUUUUCGGAUUGUAAACCUCUGUCAACAGGGACGAAAAUGACGGUACCUGAGAAGGAAGCUCCGGCUAACUACGUGCCAGCAGCCGCGGUAAUACGUAGGGAGCGAGCGCUAUCCGGAAUUACUGGGUGUAAAGGGAGUGUAGGCGGGACUGUAAGUCAGAUGUGAAAUAUACCGGCUCAACUGGUAGACUGCAUUUGAAACUGCGGUUCUUGAGUGAAGUAGGGGUAAGCGGAAUUCCUGGUGUAGCGGUGAAAUGCGUAGAUAUUAGGAGGAACACCAGUGGCGAAGGCGGCUUACUGGGCGUUAACUGACGCUGAGGCUCGAAAGCGUGGGGAGCAAACAGGAUUAGAUACCCUGGUA